CGCGACCUCGGAGAACCUAAAGCCUAAACCGCGGCUUGGGUUCGGGGGAGCUCCAGGCCGCCGGCGACGAUGGGAAAGCCGCUGGGCGACAGCGUGUUCGCCGGCCACGCGGCCGCCGGCGUCGCGGCGAUCACCGCCUCCGCGGUCGCCGUCCACCCGCUCGACACCGUCAAGACCCUCCUCCAGUUGAGCGCUACGGGGUCGCAGCAGAAGAUGGGGCUCGGCCAAGUGGUGGACCGGCUCAUGUCCGCCUCCGGCCCUGCAGGCCUUUACAGUGGCAUUGGAUGGUCAGUAUUGGGCAAGCUGCCUGGGUUGGGAGCACGUUUUGGAACUUAUGAACUCUUAACAGCCUUCUAUAAAGAUGGAAAGGAGGACAACUAUGUUUCUUACUCUGAGGCUAUGUUGGCCGGCAUAGCUGCUGGUGCUGUUGAGUCAGUUUUGUGCACACCAUUUGAACUUCUGAAACUUCGGAGCCAAGUUGGUUCUGUGAAACCAAUGAAAGCCACAGACCCAGCAAACAUUACAAAAGUGGCAUUUCCACUGCUCUCCAAACUGUUGCCUGGUUAUGUCCCUGACAUCAGAGUAUGGAAUAGCAGUGUCAGCCUUUUGUCCAAUCUUUCCCCAAAGCAUCCUGACAUGAUGGGUGCCCUGAAACAGCAUCCGUGGAUGCUUACUGGUUCAGGGAAGCCCCCAUUGCCCUCUGAUGUUCAGGUUCCUUCAAGAGUGAUAGCACUUGAAGGAUGGGGUGCUCUAUGGAGAGGACUUAGACCAGGGAUGACCCGGGACUGCGUCUUUGGAGGAAUGUUCUUUUCAACUUGGCAAUUCAUACACACAGCGAUGCUUACUUGGAGUGCUGUUAAUAUGAACCCUCAACCCAGCAAACUGGAAGAAGCAGGCCCUGUAUCCCCUUUUGCUUCUAGUCUUGCUGCAGGCUUCUCAGGAGUUGUAGCAGCUGCUGCUUCCCAUACAUUUGAUACCGCCAAAAGUCGUUCGGAAUGCACUGUUAUACCAAAGUAUAUCGCGAUGGAGAGGAGGCUUCUUAAAUGGAAAGUACCAGGAAAUUGGAUAGAGAGAAAGACAGGAAUAUCUCCUGCCGAUAGGAAUGUUCUGUUCCGUGGUAUUGGUCAACGAAUGGCCCGAAGUGGAUUUGCAUCUUUUCUACUUGUUGGGUCCUACUAUUUUGUUAUAGAUCAGUUCUUGUAGACGACAUGAAGAGACAUCAUUUAACUAAGAGAUCUCUUUAAUGAAUUUCAAACAUUCUAUGUGCAUCUGGUGAAUAAUUGAAGAACAGAAUUCAAGGCUGCCUCUUUUGGUAUCAGGCUUUUGUUGAAGAGAUAACAAGUAUCUUGUAUGGAAACCGUAUUGUUGGUAGGAUGACUGAUGAGUAGCAACUACUGAAGAUCCUUUUUAAGUUUUUGAUAAGGAUUUUGUGAGAAAAAAAUAUGUCUUCAUUAUUGUUCAAGGUUAAUUUCAUCAUAAGAUUUUACUUCUUCUCUCUUUUUUCUUGUCAUUAGAAAGUAAACGGUAAGGCUUUUUGUGAAUAUUUUUGGGGAUGCCAUAAUUCCCUGAAAGCUGCCUUCUACUUCUGUUUACGGUACUAUUCAGCAAUCCUACAAUAUAUCUUGGAAUAUUUUACUUCAA